rnacentral:rRNA from 1 species
AGCUCCAUUGGCGUAUAUUAAAGUUGUUGCGGUUAAAAAGCUCGUAGUUGGAUCUGUGUAUCGGACGGUCGGUUCGCCGCCCGCGGUGUUUAACUGACCGGUCCGGACGUCCUGCCGGUGGGACCCGGUUCACGCCGGGGCCCGUAACUCCCUCCGUGCUGCUCUUAACCGAGUGGUUCGGUGGGCCGGCACGUUUACUUUGAACAAAUUUGAGUGCUCAAAGCAGGCCUUAUGUUGCCUGAAAACUGUGUGCAUGGAAUAAUGGAAUAGGACCUUGGUUCUAUUUUGUUGGCUUUUCUGAACUCGAGGUAAUGAUUAAUAGGGACAGACGGGGGCAUUCGUAUUGCGACGUUAGAGGUGAAAUUCUUGGAUCGUCGCAAGACGAACCGAUGCGAAAGCGUUUGCCAAGAAUGUUUUCGCUAAUCAAGAACGAAAGUUAGAGGUUCGAAGGCGAUCAGAUACCGCCCUAGUUCUAACCAUAAACGAUGCCAGCCAGCGAUGCGCCGAAGUUCUUCCGAUGACUCGGCGCGCAGCUUCCGGGAAACCAAAGCUUUUGGGUUCCGGGGGAAGUA